AGCCAGUAGACACCCAGCCAGCCAGUUCCUUCACAGCCAGCCAUUAACUCAUGAUUCACUGCCGUCAGAAACCCCGCCAGGCCUUGUACUUAACAGCCAGCCACUAACCCAUGCUUCACCUCUGCCGUUGCGACAGGUGAACAAUCAGUUGCUGCGUG